AUGUCUGCAAGUUGAAUCGACAAUGAUGUUAUUGUUCUGCAGCCGGAUUAAAUGAAUCACUCAGGAAUUUCUUUUUUUUCCUCUUUUUUAGGGGGGUCUCAUUAUUACCUGCACGAUAACAAAGACAAGUUGUACCACCGGGAAGGCUACUUUAACAGCUGAAUCACAGUGAAGAUGGUGUAGUAGAUCAUCCAGAUGGAGGUGAGGAGGAGGAGGAUGAUGAGAUAAACUUGCAGAUCUGAGGUGCUGAUUUUAACAUGAGCUGAAGCGCUGCCACUGACUAAGGCACAUCCCAGGAUGAGAAUGUUCAGACAGAGAAACGCAGACAGCAUCCAUCCCCAGCUCCGACCCCGGUCCCGACCAACUUCAGAGGAGACGUUCAGCUCGGGUUCGCUCGCAGCUUGACCUGCAGCAUUUAUGUUGUUGGAGAGGUGCGCCUCCUCCAUAUCUCUGUCUUUGGCUGUCAUCUUGCAGGGUUCACACAGAUUGCCGCUGGCCAAACAUUCGCAUGGGUAUCCGGGGUUGAAACACAUGCCUCCUCUCUCUGGGAUCCUUCACAAAUGAGUCAGUGCCCUGCACCUGGAACCAGAUAUGAGAUAUUUCAGGUUUAUCAGCUACACCCGCUCACUGGGUCCUUGUGAAGGCAAAUCCCUCUGCUUUAUCACCAAAAAAAAAAAAAAAAAGAA